AGCUAAUUUUUUUUAAUCAAGCUAAAAUUUGUUUGCCUUGGUUGUUAUUCUGAUUGUAGAAACGACGUUAUACUUUUUAAGUGUUUGCAUUAUUGAGGUUGCUUUACCCCUAAUACGUUAUUACCAAUUCCCCCUUCAAUAUGUUGUCUGAGAUUUGUAUGAUAGUUUUUCUAUAUAUGUGUUUGGGUCUAAUGAUGUGUCUAAUGUUGUUUGGAUUUUGAUGUGAGUUAUAUGUCAUGUUUUUGGUGGGUUAUAGAAUGCGAGGAGUGUUGUUAGCAUAGUUGGGUAGGUGUUUUGGUAACGUUAUUAGUUUGUUAAGCACGUCGUAACAUACUUUCCAAUGCAUAAACAGAGUGAAAGUCUAAGAGAAGCCAAAAUCACUAGAUCACUACUGCUAUUUUCUCAUCUUGUUUGUAUUUUUAUUUCUUUCAAGUGAAAAGAUACUAUCUGCGAAAUAUAAGCUCUAUGUCUUUCAAGUUAAAACUGAUUUGCUCUUUCUAGUCUUUUGAUUAAUGCACAAAAACAAAAUUGAUUUAGGGAUCUUUCCGUUAGAAGAAAGAUAAUCCUAAAUCAAAUCGAAAAAUUUCAAAAGAAAAGAAAAAAUAUCUAACCUCAGAGAUUAAAAUUAGUUCUUACAAAAUAAAUUAUAAUGCUAAGCAUCAUUCAAAUGAUUAAAAAAUAUCUCAGAGAUAUUAAAAAGAAAGAACACGUAAUUUAUUAUUUAAAUUUUUUAAGAUGUCUUUCAAAAGACUUUAUGCAGUUUUUUGUCUUAUUUUUAUUCCUCUUUCUCGCAAUUCUUGGCGUUAUGUGGGUCUGCAAAUUGAGUGGGAGGAGACUCUGGACCCGUUUGUUAUUCUAGCUUAGCCUACAUUUACUUUUUUAAAAGAUAUAAAGAAGCUGUCGCUGUGCUUUUCUCUUGUCGCGUUUGUCUUCCCUGCUGCAGCUGCCGUUGAUCUUCUUGUCAUUGGUGCUUUUCAGAAACAGAGGUUAGUAAUGAGCUAAUUUUUUUUUUUAAUCAAGCUAAAAUUUGUUUGCCUUGGUUGUUAUUCUGAUUGUAGAAACGACGUUAUACUUUUCAAGUGUUUGCAUUAUUGAGGUGGAGAUUUAAACUCGGGAAAUUGUAUGCAACCUAUUUGUUGUGUAGCUCAAAUUUUUUGGUACCGAUAGCUUAACUUUUUUGAUUUUGACAAGGGCUUAUGAAUUUCAGCCCAAUGGAUUCAAUUUGACUGCUAAUUCUUACAAUUCCAUGAAUUAGUACCUAUACAACGUCUGAAACAUUGACUUUCUACAUUUUGAAAAAUGAACACCUCUCAAAUUGAUAGUUUUAAUUUUAAAUAUUUUUGUAUGUGUUUGUUUGAAUUUUUUUAAAUUUGUUAGUUGUUAAAAUUUGUGCCAUUUUUUCCAAAGGAACAGAACAGCUAAGAAAUUCUUAUUAGGGUCUAAAUAAGAACAUGAAUCGAGAAUGAAUAUAUGUUAGAUACGAAGGUGGAUAUCUGCAUCCACGGUUUAUACAAGGGGUGAAGGAAUUUGUUAAUUUUGCAAAAAUGCAUCCCGAUUGCAUGAAUGGUGAGAAGAUAAGAUGUCCGUGUGAUCAUAAAAAAUGCAGAAACAAGGGUUAUCUUGAGGAGGUUAUAGUGAAAUGUCAUCUUGCAAAGUAUGGAUUCAUGAAAAACUAUAAUUGCUGGUAUUGUCAUGGAGAAACUUUUGUACCCAAUAUUAUCCAAGCUACUCCCAACAUAGAUUUAGAACAUGAAUCCCAUGAAACUGAAACAAUUAAUCAUGGUGAUUUCUUUCGAUCAAUGAUGCAAGAUGUCAUUGGUCCUUCUCAAGUUCCUAAUGUAGCGGAAGAGGACCCGAAUUUGGAAGCCCAGCAUUUGUAUGACAUGUUUCGGGCAUCUGAACAAGAGUUGUGGGAAGGAAAUCCGGGAGGACAUUUUCAAUUAUCAGCUGUUGCGAGAUUGAUGAAUUUAAAAGCGGAGUUUCAUUUUUCAGAAAGGUUAUAUGAUGAAUUUUGUAAGUUUUUGGCAGAGAUUUAAAUCUUUUGUUGGUUACGUAUGUGAUAAUUCAAUUGAAUUUUUUUUAAUUAUAAGAUGAAGUCGAGAAAUCA